rfam:Felis catus isolate Cinnamon breed Abyssinian chromosome C2, whole genome shotgun sequence.
GCCUGGGGGGGCUCAGUCGGUUGAGCGUCUAACUUCGGCUCAGGUCAUGAUCUCACGGUCCGUGGGUUCGAGCCCCACGUCAGGCU